rnacentral:pre_miRNA from 1 species
UUAGUUCAUAUUUGUAUGGAGUGGGGUCGUUUGCGUACGUUUGCCGCUAGGGGCGCUGUUCCAAUUGCAUACAAAGAUGGCUCA